AUGCACCGGGAGCCUGACGUGGGAUUCGAUCCUGGGUCUCCAGGAUCGCGCCCUGGACCAGAGGCAGGCGCUAAACCGCUGCGCCACCCAGGGAUCCCGCUGUGCCACCCAGGGAUCCCUAAACUAAGGAUUUUUAAUAAUCACCCAGGUGACUCCACAGCUGAUAAAAUUAAAGAGGGUAUUCUUUGCUUGGAGACAAUGAAGUUCAUAUCAGGGCAGGGAUUAGAGACCCUCCUGACAAGGACUGUGGACAAGCCACAUGACAUCUAGAAGCCCUUUGCCCUUCCGACUGUCCUGGGUCUGUUCUCAGGUGGGGUAUGGAAUGUUGUGAGCCAACUGAGGCAUCUCAGGAAGUAUGUCUCUACUUCUUUGGUUUUGAAUCUUCUGUUGACUCAAGACACUAUGACCUUGGUGUUGAAGGGUCUUGGCACUACACUCCUGCACUUCUGGGAAGGGUCAUGGAAUCUGGAAGCCCUUGCAGUAGGAGCGCUUUUCCUCACAUCCCUAACCAUACCGGCUAACCUAUGCUAGUUGUGAGUACCCUUUUGUGAGUGAGUGAAACAUGCUUAACAUCCAGGCGCUUAAACCUCAGGCCUAACUAUCGGAGUACAGUGCACACAAGAAAACAGUGCCCACCCACCCAUUUCUCCCCCUUCUUCUACCUCAGUAGACACUCCCCUGAUGGAUCUCGUGUCAAUGGCCAUAGAAGAGGUAGCUCUGUACUGCCUGGGUUCUACCUCUUGUUGGUCCUCUGUUUCUCACUCCUGGGGGAGCCAAGACAUCAUGGUUAAUUUCUCAAAGCAUCAUCCAGACAAGGAGGAAGCUCCAGUUCACGAGUUUCUCUGUCUUCUACAGCCUUUGCCAUACAGCUGUCUCCAGAAGCAGGGUGUGCUCUCCCCUGGCCUUUCCCACAACCUCAUCCUUUAGCAAGUGGGCUUACUCAUGACUACUUCAACUGCCUGUAUCUGAACAAAGUAUAAAAGCUUCUCGACAAUUCUAUUUCUAUGGUUGGUAUUUGUUGAGCGGAAGGUUACUUCCUGUUUGGUAAAAAUUCCAACAUUCCUUUUACUGGAGGAGCCACCCUGUAGGAGGGAUACUUAAUAUUCUUUAGUUGAAGACCCUCAGCAACUAAAAUUAUUCCCCUUUCUCGCUCAUGUGAAUCUUGCACAAGUGAUGGAAGUGGUGCUUCUUGGGCCAGGAGAACAGGGGGUGGCUCCCUGAUAAAUCCUUGAUAUGUCUGAACACGUAACAGAACAAAUUUCCAAAAAUUUUACAUAAGUAUUAAGACCACUCCUAUGCUGAAGGCUAUCAAUAUCUUGCAUUUGAAUGACUCUUAUUUUCAAAGUACACUUGUAUGUUAUCUCCUUAUCAAUGAAGCCAGUCAAAACUAUUAUUAAUCCAUUGCCUAGUUUUAUUCUUGUAGGUCAUUUUACUGUACUGAGGCAGCUUUAAAACUGUUUUGCUCCUGUAUUGGUGUGUGUUCAAUGAGAAAAAAUACAUUUACGUUUACAAAAGACUUGCAGACAUAACAUAAAGAGAUCCUGUGUACCAAUGGUCCUCAACCUUGGGGGAUUUCUUCCCUGCACUGCUCCCGAGGAUAUUUUGAACUGUCUGAGGUUCUUAGAUUUUACAAUUGGAUGUGCUGCUGACCUGGAGCAUGUAGAGGCUGGGGAUGUGCUACACAUCCUACAAAAGAAUAGACAGCCUUCCACAAGCAUGACUUCUCUAGCCUAAAAUGUCAACAGUGCUCAGCUUGAGAAACUCUGCUGUAGACUCUUCACCCAUUUCCCUACGGCCAUUAUAUGAAGUGACCCUGAUACAUAAAAAUUAAAGAACU
rnacentral:lncRNA from 1 species